rnacentral:ncRNA from 1 species
UACCUGGCUGAUCCUGCCAGUAGUCAUAUGCUUGUCUCAAAGCUUAAGCCAUGCAAGUGUAAGUUCAUGCCGUAAACGAACGGUGAAACCGCGAAUGGCUCAGGAACCGGACCUAAUCCUCGGGACUGUAUUCUUCACCGCGAGGAGAGUGGAUGACUGUGGAAAUUCUAGAGUUAACACAUGCAACC